CAAUAGCGUAUAUUAAAGUUGUUGCGGUUAAAAAGCUCGUAGUUGGAUUUCAACCGAUGCGAACUGAGUUGGACAUUGUUCGACUUUGGUUUUGCAGAGGUGUCUCGAGUUGCAUCUUUCUGUGAUUGGUUUCGCUGAUAGAGGCACUCGACUUUUACUUUGAGGAAAUUGGCGAGUUCAAAUCAGGCAUAAGCCUUGAACAGCUUAGCAUGGAAUAAUAAGAUAGGACUUAGGUUCUAUUUUGUUGGUUUUGGGAACUUAAGUAAUGAUUAAUAGGAACAGUCGGGGGCAUUCGUAUCCGUCCGCCAGAGGUGAAAUUCUUAGAAUGGACGCAGACGAACUACUGCGAAAGCAUUUGCCAAGGAUGUUUUCAUUGA
rnacentral:rRNA from 1 species